CGGGGGUCCCACCUGACCCCAUGCCGAACUCAGAAGUGAAACGCCGUAGCGCCGAUGGUAGUGUGGGGUCUCCCCAUGCGAGAGUAGGGAACUGCCAGGC
rnacentral:rRNA from 1 species